GCUGAGUGCAGUGACAUGUACCUGCAGUCCCCGCUACUGGGGAAGCUGAGGUAGGAGGAUUGCUUGAGCCUGAGUUCUAGACUGUAGUGCACUGUGCCCAUCAAUUGUCCACACUAAGUUCAGCAUCAAUAUGGUGACUUCCUGGGAGUCGGAUACCACCAGGUUGGUGAAGGAUAAAACAACCUAUAUUGGAAACAGAGCAGUUCAAAACUCUUAUAUUGCUCAGUAGUGGAAUACUGCCUGACUAGCCACUGUACUCUAGCCUGAGCAGCAGAGCAAGACCCCAUCUGUU
ensembl:misc_RNA Metazoa_SRP Metazoan signal recognition particle RNA